UGGGGAAUAUUGCGCAAUGGGGGAAACCCUGACGCAGCUACGCCGCGUGCGGGAUGAAGGCCUUCGGGUUGUAAACCGCUUUUGAUUGGGAGCAAGCCUUUUGGGUGAGUGUACCUUUCGAAUAAGCGCCGGCUAACUACGUGCCAGCAGCCGCGGUAAUACGUAGGGCGCAAGCGUUAUCCGGAAUUAUUGGGCGUAAAGAGCUUGUAGGCGGUUCGUCGCGUCUGGUGUGAAAGCCCAUCGCUUAACGGUGGGUUUGCGCCGGGUACGGGCGGGCUAGAGUGCAGUGGGGGGGACUGGAAAUCCCGGUGUAACGGUGGAAUGUGUAGAUAUCGGGAAGAACACCAAUGGCGAAGGCAGGUCUCGGGGCUGUUACUGACGCUGAGAAGCGAAAGCGUGGGGAGCGAACAGG
rnacentral:rRNA from 1 species